GGCUGCAGGUGUGGCCCUAAAAAGACAAAAAAAACCAAAAACAAAAAAACAGGUGGGCUUCAGUGAAACACAUAGUGUCGUGUUGGGCUAUAAUAUACACUGUUUAUAUGAGAUUACAUAGUAUUUGUCACCUGAUCCACACGGAUGCAAAUAAUUGACUCAAUAAAUAAACGGGACGGAGAGGACAGAGCAAGUCCCCUGCUUGUAUCUGGAACCCACCCCUCCAGAAGGGGCAGCGCCCCCUCUCCAAUGGGCUGCACGCAGCGACUUGUUUGCAAAGAGGGGAGGGGUCACCUUACCUCGUGGAAACCUGGCAAAGGCCCACCUCCUGCCAGGUGAGGCCGGUUAACUGCCUCAGCGAAGUCACGUGAGUACUGUGCCCUCCCCCAGAGGACGUGGUACCCGCGCCAGCGGCACCAGGGUCUAUCUGCCAGGGAUGCCUCGAAAUGCACCUGAGAAGGGACCACAGGCCAGUGGAGGUUCAGGAGGCAGGACAAUGGAAGCCCCACUGGGGAGAGGUGUGUGUCUGCUGUCCUCGGCCACUGGAUGAUCAGCCUCUUGGAGGGAUACCCCACAGAGCAGGAGCGCACUGUGGGAUCUGGACGAGAGACUUCUGCUCCGAGCACUGUUUCCACUUCCGGAAAAUGGUGAGGAUAUUUCCUCGGUCCCAGUGGGGACCUAGGAUUCCUGAGACCCUCUCUGUCCCAACCUGGGAGAAGAAGAAGAACGAGGCCACGACAGCAAGUCCUCCCAGCGGCCCACCCCUGUCUGCAGCCCUUCGCACAAAUGCAAAGGGCUUGAUUCACGGUAGUGAUCACGGGAGAGGGACAAGGGCCUACUUAGCAUUCAUCCUGUUCGCCCCAUCUAUGAAUGGGGCUACACGCUUGCCUCCUUCACUGAGUUGUGUCCAUGAGAUUGUGCAGAAAAGGUGUCUGGCCCACAUUUGGAGGAGGUACCAGGGAGCCACUGAAGGUUCGGGGGGAAGGGAGGUGGUGGCUUGCAUGUAGGGAAAGCACCUCCCAGCCCCUGCUUCUCCCCAACACCGGAGGUUUAGUUCCUGCUGCUGGGAGGAUUUAGUGCUCCUCCUUGGAAACGCUGAUUUAUUCGUGCCCAUAUUUCAUUAUCCUUCAUUUCCCCCCCUGGUCCGUAAGCUCCAUGAGAGCAGGUGCUCAGCUUGGUCUGUCUCAUCCCUGGACCCCCGGCUUCCAGCCCUGGGUGGCGGUGAACGCAGAGAUGAAGUGUCCACUGGGCCAGGCCUCCUUCCAAGGCCUCAGCCAAGGUGUGUGGUUCAGUCUGGGGCAGUGGGAUUCUGCAGAGCUCGGGGUGCUCCCUCCUCUCCCCUCCCUGACCGCCCCACCUGUCCAGCUUCCCUCCCGCCUGUGUUUUCACCUUCCCAGGGAAGGAACCUUCCCUCUCCAGCCUGGGUGACUCUGCUUGCUCCCCUGGAAAACAAGGAUGACCCCCGCCCCCUCCCUCGCCCCUGGCCUUACAGGCAUGAAGAUACCUGCAUGGUCAGUGUCAUUAUGGGCAUAGGGCCAGAGAGCUCCAUCGGCGGGCCUGGGGUCGGAGGAAGAGGAGUUUAGGGAGAAUUGAAUUAGAGCCAUCGUCCCCCCCCACCACUACUGGGACCUAAACAAAUGGGUUAAAAAAACACACAUACACACACAGCUGGAGGAUCUGGAGAAAGUGACACUUCCACCUGACCCCCAGGUCCUUGUGGUGUCUCAAACAUGCAGCCCCCACCCACCGCCACGCGGCCUUUGCCUGCGCUGUGCCCUCCCUCCUCCUGGCUCUUCCUUCAGGUCACAAGGUCAAAUGUCAUCUCACCAGAGACCCUGCCUUCCCAACGGGCUCUCUCAUCACAGCGCCCUGUAAUUUCCUUGGAAGCCCUUAUCAAUACCUGAUGUUCGACUGCAGAUUGGUUUAUCAUCUAGGGCAGAGAGGUCUAGUGGGAUUUUUUGCCAUGUGGAAUGUUCUAGAUCUGUGCUAACAGGGUAGCCACCGGCCACGUGGGGAUACUGGGCACUUGAAAUCGCAUGAUGGAGGAACUGAACUUGUCGUCUUAUUAAAUUUUAAUUAUUUUAUUGUAAGUGGA